CAGCAGCCGCGGUAAUACGUAGGGUGCGAGCGUUAAUCGGAAUUACUGGGCGUAAAGCGUGCGCAGGCGGUUGUGUAAGACAGGUGUGAAAUCCCCGGGCUUAACCUGGGAACUGCGCUUGUGACUGCACAGCUAGAGUAUGGCAGAGGGGGGUGGAAUUCCACGUGUAGCAGUGAAAUGCGUAGAGAUGUGGAGGAACACCGAUGGCGAAGGCAGCCCCCUGGGCCAAUACUGACGCUCAUGCACGAAAGCGUGGGGAGCAAACAGGAUUAGAUACCCGUGUAGUCCCUGUCUCUUAUAC
rnacentral:rRNA from 1 species